rnacentral:tRNA from 1 species
GCCCGCGUAGCUCAAUCGGUUAGAGCAUCCGACUUUUAAUCGGAAGGCUGGGGGUUCGAGUCCCCCCGCAGGCU